GACGAACGCUGGCGGCGUGCUUAACACAUGCAAGUCGAACGGAAAGGCCCUGCUUUUGUGGGGUGCUCGAGUGGCGAACGGGUGAGUAACACGUGAGUAACCUGCCCUUGACUUUGGGAUAACUUCAGGAAACUGGGGCUAAUACCGUAUAGGAGCUCCUGCUGCAUGGUGGGCGUUGGAAAGUUUCGGCGGUUGGGGAUGGACUCGCGGCUUAUCAGCUUGUUGGUGGGGUAGUGGCUUACCAAGGCUUUGACGGGUAGCCGGCCUGAGAGGGUGACCGGCCACAGUGGGACUGAGAUACGGCCCAGACUCGUACGGGAGGCAGCAGUGGGGAAUAUUGCACAAUGGGCGGAAGCCUGAUGCAGCAACGCCGCGUGCGGGAUGACGGCCUUCGGGUUGUAAACCGCUUUCGCCUGUGACGAAGCGUGAGUGACGGUAAUGGGUAAAGAAGCACCGGCUAACUACGUG
rnacentral:rRNA from 1 species